UACGUAGGGUGCAAGCGUUGUCCGGAAUUAUUGGGCGUAAAGAGCUCGUAGGCGGUCUGUCGCGUCGGAUGUGAAACCUCGGGGCUCAACCCCGAGCCUGCAUUCGAUACGGGCAGACUAGAGUUCGGUAGGGGAGACUGGAAUUCCUGGUGUAGCGGUGAAAUGCGUAGAGAUCCGGAGGAACACCAGAGGCGAAGGCGGCCUACUGGGCUGCACCUGACGCUGAACCGCGAAAGCUAGGGGAGCGAACGGG
rnacentral:rRNA from 1 species